rnacentral:rRNA from 1 species
UACGGAAGGCAGCAGUGGGGAAUAUUGCACAAUGGGCGCAAGCCUGAUGCAGCCAUGCCGCGUGUAUGAAGAAGGCCUUCGGGUUGUAAAGUACUUUCAGUCGUGAGGAAGGUGUUAAGGUUAAUAACCUUAGCAAUUGACGUUAGCGACAGAAGAAGCACCGGCUAACUCCGUGCCAGCAGCCGCGGUAAUACGGAGGGUGCGAGCGUUAAUCGGAAUUACUGGGCUAAAGGGCACGCAGGCGGUUAAUUAAGUUGGAUGUGAAAUCCCCGGGCUUAACCUGGGAAUGGCAUUCAAGACUGGUUAGCUAGAGUCUUGUAGAGGGGGUAGAAUUCCAUGUGUAGCGGUGAAAUGCGUAGAGAUGUGGAGGAAUACCGGGUGGCGAAGGCGGCCCCUGGGACAAAGGACUGACGCUCAUGUGCGAAAGCGUGGGGAGCAAAACAGGAUUAGAUACC